UUAAAUGAAUUGACGGGGCCCGCACAAGCGGUGGAGCAUGUGGUUUAAUUCGAUGCAACGCGAAGAACCUUACCUGGGCUUGACAUCCCGGGAAUCUCCUGGAAACAGGGGAGUGCCUUUCGGGGAACCCGGAGACAGGUGCUGCACGGCUGUCGUCAGCUCGUGUCGUGAGAUGUUGGGUUAAGUCCCGCAACGAGCGCAACCCUUGUCAUUAGUUGCUACAUUUAGUUGGGCACUCUAAUGAGACUGCCGGUGACAAACCGGAGGAAGGUGGGGAUGACGUCAAGUCCUCAUGGCCCUUAUAGGUAGGGCUACACACGUCAUACAAUGGAUGGUACAAAGGGUCGCCAACCCGCGAGGGGGAGCCAAUCCCAUAAAGCCAUUCGUAGUCCGGAUCGCAGUCUGCAACUCGACUGCGUGAAGUCGGAAUCGCUAGUAAUCGUGGAUCAGAAUGUCACGGUGAAUACGUUCCCGGGUCUU
rnacentral:rRNA from 1 species